GUGCUCACUUCAGCAGCACAUAUACUAAAAUUAGAACAAAAGAGAUUAAGCAUGGCCCCUGUACAAAGAUGACAUGCCAAAUUCAAAGUCCAGUGACAUAUGGUG
rnacentral:snRNA from 1 species